UAAAGAAUCUUCUGAGUAAAUGAUUAAAUAAAUCAAAACUUUCAACAACGGAUCUCUUGGUUCUGGCAUCGAUGAAGAACGCAGCGAAAUGCGAUAAGUAAUGUGAAUUGCAGAAUUCAGUGAAUCAUCGAAUCUUUGAACGCACAUUGCGCCCGCCAGUAUUCUGGCGGGCAUGCCUGUUCGAGCGUCAUUUCAACCCUCAAGCCCCCGGGCUUGGUGUUGGAGAUCGGCGUGCCCCCCGGGGCGCGCCGCCUCCCAAAUAUAGUGGCGGUCUCGCUGUAGCUUCCUCUGCGUAGUAGCACACCUCGCACUGGAAAACAGCGUGGCCACGCCGUUAAACCCCCCACUUCUGAAAGGUUGACCUCGGAUCAGGUAGGAAUACCCGCUGAACUUAAGCAUAUCAAUAAGCGGAGG
rnacentral:rRNA from 1 species